UGUUCGGUGACUGCGUACCUUUUGUAUAAUGGGUCAGCGACUUACAUUCAGUAGCGAGGUUAACCGCAUAGGGGAGCCGUAGAGAAAUCGAGUCUUAAUAGGGCGUUUAGUUGCUGGGUGUAGACCCGAAACCGGGUGAUCUAUCCAUGAGCAGGUUGAAGGUUGGGUAACACUAACUGGAGGACCGAACCCACUGUCGUUGAAAAGCCAGGGGAUGACUUGUGGAUAGGGGUGAAAGGCUAAUCAAACUCGGUGAUAGCUGGUUCUCCCCGAAAGCUAUUUAGGUAGCGCCUCGGACGAAUACCAUUGGGGGUAGAGCACUGUUUCGGCUAGGGGGUCAUCCCGACUUACCAAACCGAUGCAAACUCCGAAUACCAAUGAGUACUAUCCGGGAGACAGACUGCGGGUGCUAACGUCCGUAGUCAAGAGGAAAACAAUCCAGACCGCCAGCUAAGGCCCCAAAAUUAUAGUUAAGUGGGAAACGAUGUGGGAAGGCAUAGACAGCUAGGAGGUUGGCUUAGAAGCAGCCACCCUUUAAAGAAAGCGUAAUAGCUCACUAGUCGAGUCGGCCUGCGCGGAAGAUGUAACGGGGCUAAAACUAUAUGCCGAAGCUGCGGAUUUGCAAUUUAUUGCAAGUGGUAGGGGAGCGUUCUGUAAGCCGAUGAAGGUGUAUUGAGAAGUAUGCUGGAGGUAUCAGAAGUGCGAAUGCUGACGUGAGUAACGACAAUGCGAGUGAAAAACUCGCACGCUGAAAGACCAAGGGUUCCAGUCCAACGUUAAUCGGGGCUGGGUGAGUCGACCCCUAAGGCGAGGCCGAGAGGCGUAGUCGAUGGGAAAUUGGUUAAUAUUCCAAUACUUCUAUGUAAUGCGAUGAGAGGACGGAGAAGGUUAAGUCAGCCUGGCGUUGGUUGUCCAGGUGGAAGGUUGUAGGCAUGUAUCUUAGGCAAAUCCGGGGUACUCUAUGCUGAGAACUGAUAGCAAGCUGUACUUGUACAGUGAAGUGGCUGAUACCAUGCUUCCAGGAAAAGUCUCUAAGCUUCAGUUACAUAGGAAUCGUACCCGAAACCGACACAGGUGGUCAGGUCGAGUAGACCAAAGCGCUUGAGAGAACUCUGCUGAAGGAACUAGGCAAAAUGGUACCGUAACUUCGGGAGAAGGUACGCUGCCGACGGUGAUAGGAUUUACUCCUUGAGCUAUUGGCAGCCACAGAAACCAGGCCCCUGCAACUGUUUAUUAAAAACAUAGCACUCUGCAAACACGAAAGUGGACGUAUAGGGUGUGAUGCCUGCCCGGUGCUGGAAGGUUAAUUGAUGGGGUUAGCGUAAGCGAAGCUCUUGAUCGAAGCCCCAGUAAACGGCGGCCGUAACUAUAACGGUCCUAAGGUAGCGAAAUUCCUUGUCGGGUAAGUUCCGACCUGCACGAAUGGCAUAAUGAUGGGGGCGCUGUCUCCAGCAGAGACUCAGUGAAAUCGAAUUCGCCGUGAAGAUGCGGUGUACCCGCGGCUAGACGGAAAGACCCCGUGAACCUUUACUGCAGCUUGACAUUGAACUUUGAUCUUACUUGUGUAGGAUAGGUGGGAGGCUUUGAAACCGAGACGCUAGUUUCGGUGGAGCCAAUCUUGAAAUACCACCCUGGUAAUAUUGAGGUUCUAACUCUG
rnacentral:rRNA from 1 species